CACGUGAGUAACCUGCCCCUGACUCUGGAAUAACUUCGGGAAACCGAAGCUAAUACCGGAUAUGACACAGAGCCGCAUGGUUUCUGUGUGGAAAGUUUUUCGGUUGGGGAUGGACUCGCGGCCUAUCAGCUUGUUGGUGAGGUAAUGGCUCACCAAGGCGACGGCGGGUAGCCGGCCUGAGAGGGCGACCGGCCACACUGGGACUGAGACACGGCCCAGACUCCUACGGGAGGCAGCAGUGGGGAAUAUUGCACAAUGGGCGAAAGCCUGAUGCAGCGACGCCGCGUGAGGGAUGAAGGCCUUCGGGUUGUAAACCUCUUUCAGUAGGGAAGAAGCGCAAGUGACGGUACCUACAGAAGAAGCACCGGCUAACUACGUG
rnacentral:rRNA from 1 species